UACGGAGGGUGCAAGCGUUAUCCGGAUUCACUGGGUUUAAAGGGUGCGUAGGUGGGUCUGUAAGUCAGUGGUGAAAUCUCCGAGCUUAACUCGGAAACUGCCAUUGAUACUAUAGGUCUUGAAUUAUCUGGAGGUAAGCGGAAUAUGUCAUGUAGCGGUGAAAUGCUUAGAUAUGACAUAGAACACCAAUUGCGAAGGCAGCUGGCUACACGAAUAUUGACACUGAGGCACGAAAGCGUGGGGAUCAAACAGG
rnacentral:rRNA from 1 species